rnacentral:rRNA from 1 species
UGCGGUAUCCUGACCGUGCUAAGGUAGCAUAAUCAUUUGCCUCUUAAUUAGUGGCUAGUAUGAAUGGACAAACGAGAAUUCCCCUGUCUCUAUAAAGCCAAUGAAAAUUAAUCUUCAGGUGAAGAAGCCUGAAUCUCAUUAAAAGACAAAAAGACCCUAUUGAGCUUACAUUCAAUCUCUAAAAUAUUAAAAUAAAAUAAAACUACCCUUUUUACAAGAAUUUUGCUGGGGCGGCAAAGGAACAACCAAAAAUUCCUUUUCUCAAAGACUUAUAAGUCUAUUAACUGAUCCGUAUUAACGAUUAACAAAACUAGUUACCAUAGGGAUAACAGGCUAAUUUUUCUCUAAAGCUCACAUUAACAGAAAAGAUUGGCACCUCG